rnacentral:rRNA from 1 species
AGAGUUUGAUCAUGGCUCAGAUUGAACGCUGGCGGAAUGCUUUACACAUGCAAGUCGAACGGCAGCACGGGGCAACCUGGUGGCGAGUGGCGAACGGGUGAGUAAUACAUCGGAACGUGCCCAAUCGUGGGGGAUAACGUAGCGAAAGUUACGCUAAUACCGCAUACGAUCUACGGAUGAAAGCGGGGGAUCGCAAGACCUCGCGCGAAUGGAGCGGCCGAUGUCAGAUUAGGUAGUUGGUGGGGUAAAGGCUCACCAAGCCAACGAUCUGUAGCUGGUCUGAGAGGACGACCAGCCACACUGGAACUGAGACACGGUCCAGACUCCUACGGGAGGCAGCAGUGGGGAAUUUUGGACAAUGGGCGCAAGCCUGAUCCAGCCAUGCCGCGUGAGUGAAGAAGGCCUUCGGGUUGUAAAGCUCUUUCGGCCGGGAAGAAAUCGCAUGGGUUAAUACCCUGUGUGGAUGACGGUACCGGAAUAAGAAGCACCGGCUAACUACGUG